GCCCUCUCAGGGUCACACCUGGAGAGUUUCCAGUACUCUACCAGUCUCGACUCUAGGAGGGAGAGUCAGGCAGAGGCAUUUUCCUUUCCAUUCCUAGCUUGAGCAGUGGCUAGCGAAUGGAAGGCAUUCUGCUACAAGU
rnacentral:snoRNA from 2 species